rnacentral:sRNA from 45 species
UUGCUAUCUGCGAUAUGGAAGAUUCGAACCUGCCGCAGGUUCGGGUCGAACGCAGUGAGACAACGGAGCCGUUUACGGCGACGGCCCGUAGGGCGAGCGAAGCGAGUCAUCCUGCACGACCCACCA